CACUUUUCCUCUCCUUAAGACGUCGGGGACCCGGAGCCGAACCCUAGCCGCUUGUUCCUCCUCCUCUCCAAGCCGCCGCCACUCUCCAUCUUUUCCUGAACGAGAGAGAAGGGUUUUGCCCGAGCACAUCGCCGACCGCCGCCAUCGCCAUGGCCAGCCUCGACGCCACCUGAGCCCAGGAAUCGACCUGCUGUGACCUCCUCUUCGUCCUGGUCUACUACACGGAAGGAAACGCGCGUGGGAGUGGUCGAUCUCGUCCACAUCAUCGUCGUUUACUUCCCUGCCUCCGGUCACCUUCCUCGCCGCCGUCGUCCUCUACCGUUCCUUCUCCGAAGACAACCUCUCGACACCGACGCCGAGCAGUACGAGCAGGAGUACGAGUACCCCCAGGAGGAUCGUGUCUGUGCUUCUACCUCUGAGCUGACAGGCGAGCCCACCUCCUUCACCCAUUUUACAGUUUCAUGCUCGUUGAUCUAUUGCUAUCCCUAUAUUGCGAUUCUGUUGUGUCACGUGUUCUAUUCCACAUAUUACCCUAUAUGAGCCGUGUUACCCCUCCUACCUAUUUACCUGAUGUUUGUUGUUUGCAAGCCUUGCAAGUCGUAGCGUGAUUUUAGGGUCUUGUUGAUAUCUCGAUAUGUUCGAGACGUUGUUGUUGGGAAGUUGACACAUGUACCACCUUUUGAAAAUGAUGUUGAUAACUUUUGCUACAACUAAAAUUGAUAAGGGAUAAUAACAUUGCAGAGGCAUCGGUGAGCCCCUUUGCCAAAGCAUCGGAUUUUUGUCUCGCUUGUGUCCCCUAGGACCCGAGUUCUUGUUAUCUGCUCUAAGGCUGAGCGCGCUAACCACUCGCGGGAGGUUUUAUCGGGACCCCCCCAUCACCCAUUACCAUUUCUCAAGUCUGUUGAAAAGGGGGCCACAACCUUGGUUUUAUUUGCCUAUGCCAUGUAUGCCAUGUAUGCCAUGCUUUACUUACUGUUGCCUUCGGGUGUUUACUUGCUGUUGCCUACGGGUGUUUAUAUUCUGUACUGUACCUUGCGAGACGUUUAGCGAAGCGUGUGGUUUGCACGCCUAGCCACCGGCGCAAACCCUGAGUCCGCCUCGGAGUACGGCCGAACUUCGUUCCGGGUAGCUUAGUGGGGUGGCCCCCCUAGACUUUCUUGUUGAACUGGGAACGGUCUUGUUGUGAGACUCCGCACUUGCUAUGCGGGUUCGAGCAUGCGUGUAUGGGAACAGUAGUGCACCCCUGCAGGGUAAAUCUUUUCGGAAAGCCGUGUCCGCGGUUAUGGACGACUUGGAGCUGUUUAACUCGAUCAUAGAACAACUUACACCUAAUCUUGUCGCUAAUAACUUGCUAAAAAUCUGCGUAGUAAGUUAGCACUAUUUCAAUGGAUACUAAAUAAAAUUGUCAACUGUGUGAGUGCCUUGCCAGUACUUCUUUGCGGAGGGGGAUCGCAUUGGCUAGGUUAUGUUUGCAGAGUAUAGAACUGCUAGCUUAUGCGCUCUCUCACCUUCUCUGAUAGACGUAUGUUGUAGCAUGUCUCUAUAAGUUAGUUCUUGCUUUGCUGCCGCUAAACUCCACAUAUAGCCGGGCGAAGUUUAUACCGCCCACCAGCGAGCACAGCUGGUCUUGUCUCGCAAGUACGUGCCAUUGGUACUUACCCUCGUUUUUCUCCCUCUUUUUCCGGAACCCGCUUUUCUACAAAAAGGUACGACAGAUGAUGAGAAGUUCGCUGGAGGCUACUUCAUUGAGUUCACGGACGAUGACCUCGUCGAGUAGCAGGAUCGCUCCUAGGCAGCAGCCUGUGGCUUGUUGGUUAUGGACCCCACUUGGUUAUCUUCAGGACUCUUAGUCCAAUUUGGAUCUUGUCUGUACCCAGACUAUUUGCUUCCGCUAUGUAUGAUGUCAUGAUGGGAUAUGUGUCCCUUUGCAUGUCAUUUGGAUCUUGCUCAGUAGAGUGUUGCUAUAUAUAAACCUUAUUUCCA